GCCCCCCUGGCUCUAGCAGCACAGAAAUAUUGGCACCGGGCGGAGAGUCUGCCAGUAUUGGCUGUGCUGCCCCAGGCAGGGUGGU
rfam:Sus scrofa isolate TJ Tabasco breed Duroc chromosome 12, whole genome shotgun sequence.